rnacentral:rRNA from 1 species
UACAGAGGGUGCGAGCGUUAAUCGGAAUUACUGGGCGUAAAGCGUGCGUAGACGGUUUCGUAAGUCGGGUGUGAAAGCCCCGGGCUCAACCUGGGAAUUGCAUUCGAGACUGCGUAGCUAGGGUGCGGAAGAGGGAAGCGGAAUUUCCGGUGUAGCGGUGAAAUGCGUAGAUAUCGGAAGGAACACCAGUGGCGAAAGCGGCUUCCUGGUCCAGCACCGACGUUCAGGCACGAAAGCGUGGGGAGCAAACAGG